AGUGAACGCUGGCGGUAGGCCUAACACAUGCAAGUCGAACGGCAGCACAGUAAGAGCUUGCUCUUACGGGUGGCGAGUGGCGGACGGGUGAGGAAUACAUCGGAAUCUACUUUUUCGUGGGGGUUAACGUAGGGAAACUUACGCUAAUACCGCAUACGACCUACGGGUGAAAGCAGGGGAUCUUCGGACCUUGCGCGAUUGAAUGAGCCGAUGUCGGAUUAGCUAGUUGGCGGGGUAAAGGCCCACUAAGGCGACGAUCCGUAGCUGGUCUGAGAGGAUGAUCAGCCACACUGGAACUGAGACACGGUCAAGACUCCUAAGGGAGGCAGCAGUGGGGAAUAUUGGACAAUGGGCGCGAGCAUGAUCCAGCCAUACCGCGUGGGUGAAGAAGGCGUUCGGGUUGUAAAGCCCUUUUGUUGGGAAAGAAAAGCAGCAGGUUAAUACCCCGCUGUUCUGACGGUACCCAAAGAAUAAGCACCGGCUAACUUCGUG
rnacentral:rRNA from 1 species